CCUACGGGUGGCAGCAGUGAGGAAUAUUGGUCAAUGGGCGCGAGCCUGAACCAGCCAAGUAGCGUGAGGGAGUACUGCCCUAUGGGUUGUAAACCUCUUUUGUCGGGGAGCAAAAGCCGGACGUGUCCGGCUGUGAGAGUACCCGAAGAAAAAGCAUCGGCUAACUCCGUGCCAGCAGCCGCGGUAAUACGGAGGAUGCGAGCGGUAACCGGAUUUAUUGGGUUUAAAGGGUGCGCAGGCGGGUUUUUAAGUCAUCGGUAAAAUCGUGGGGCUCAACCCCAUCCAGCCGUUGAAACUGGGGAUCUAGAGUGUGCGUGAGGUAUGCGGAAUGCGUGGUGUAGCGGUGAAAUGCAUAGAUAUCACGCAGAACCCCGAUUGCGAAGGCAGCAUACCGGUGCACAACUGACGCUCAGGCACGAAAGCGUGGGUAUCGAACAGGAUUAGAUACCCGGGUAGUC
rnacentral:rRNA from 1 species